rnacentral:rRNA from 1 species
GAUGAACGCUGGCGGCGUGCCUAAUACAUGCAAGUCGAGCGAACAGACGAGGAGCUUGCUCCUUUGACGUUAGCGGCGGACGGGUGAGUAACACGUGGAUAACCUACCUAUAAGACUGGGAUAACUUCGGGAAACCGGAGCUAAUACCGGAUAACAUGUUGAACCGCAUGGUUCAACAGUGAAGGACGGUCUUGCUGUCGCUUAUAGAUGGAUCCGCGCCGCAUUAGCUAGUUGGUAAGGUAACGGCUUACCAAGGCAACGAUGCGUAGCCGACCUGAGAGGGUGAUCGGCCACACUGGAACUGAGACACGGUCCAGACUCCUACGGGAGGCAGCAGUAGGGAAUCUUCCGCAAUGGGCGAAAGCCUGACGGAGCAACGCCGCGUGAGUGAAGAAGGUCUUCGGAUCGUAAAACUCUGUUAUUAGGGAAGAACAAAUGUGUAAGUAACUAUGCACGUCUUGACGGUACCUAAUCAGAAAGCCACGGCUAACUACGUG